CUAAUACAUGCUAAAAAUCCCGACUUCGGAAGGGUUGUAUUUAUUAGAUUAAAAACCAAUGCCCCUCGGGGCUCUUUGGUGAAUCAUAAUAACUACNCGAAUCGCCAGGCCUUGUGCCGGCGAUGGUUCAUUCAAAUUUCUUCCCUAUCAACUUUCGAUGUUUGGAUAUUGUCCAAACAUGGUGGCAACGGGUAACGGAGGGUUAGGGCUCGACUCCGGAGAAGGAGCCUGAGAAACGGCUACCACAUCCAAGGAAGGCAGCAGGCGCGCAAAUUACCCAAUCCCGACACGGGGAGGUAGUGACAAUAAAUACUGAUACAGGGC
rnacentral:rRNA from 1 species